rnacentral:rRNA from 1 species
GAUGAACGCUGGCGGCGUGCCUAAUACAUGCAAGUCAAGCGAACAGAUGAGGAGCUUGCUCCUCUGACGUUAGCGGCGGACGGGUGAGUAACACGUGGAUAACCUACCUAUAAGACUGGGAUAACUUCGGGAAACCGGAGCUAAUACCGGAUAAUAUAUUGAACCGCAUGGUUCAAUAGUGAAAGACGGUUUUGCUGUCACUUAUAGAUGGAUCCGCGCCGCAUUAGCUAGUUGGUAAGGUAACGGCUUACCAAGGCAACGAUGCGUAGCCGACCUGAGAGGGUGAUCGGCCACACUGGAACUGAGACACGGUCCAGACUCCUACGGGAGGCAGCAGUAGGGAAUCUUCCGCAAUGGGCGAAAGCUUGACGGAGCAACGCCGCGUGAGUGAUGAAGGUCUUCGGAUCGUAAAACUCUGUUAUUAGGGAAGAACAAAUGUGUAAGUAACUAUGCACGUCUUGACGGUACCUAAUCAGAAAGCCACGGCUAACUACGUG